rnacentral:rRNA from 1 species
GACGAACGCUGGCGGCGUGCUUAACACAUGCAAGUCGAACGGAAAGGCCCUGCUUUUGUGGGGUGCUCGAGUGGCGAACGGGUGAGUAACACGUGAGUAACCUGCCCUUGACUUUGGGAUAACUUCAGGAAACUGGGGCUAAUACCGGAUAGGAGCUCCUGCUGCAUGGUGGGGGUUGGAAAGUUUCGGCGGUUGGGGAUGGACUCGCGGCUUAUCAGCUUGUUGGUGGGGGAGUGGCUUACCAAGGCUUUGACGGGUAGCCGGCCUGAGAGGGUGACCGGCCUCAUUGGGACUGAGAUACGGCCCAGACUCCUAUGGGAGGCAGCAGUGGGGAAUAUGGCACAAUGGGCGGAAGCCUGAUGCAGCAACGCCGCGUGCGUGAUGACGGCCUUCUGGGUGUGAACCGCUUUCGCUUGUGACGAAGCGUGAGUGACGGUAAUGGGUAAAGAAGCACCGGCUAACUACGUG